UACAGAGGUCUCAAGCGUUGUUCGGAUUCAUUGGGCGUAAAGGGUGCGUAGGCGGCGCGGUAAGUCGGGUGUGAAAUCUUGGAGCUUAACUCCGAAACUGCAUUCGAUACUGCCGUGCUUGAGGACUGGAGAGGAGACUGGAAUUUACGGUGUAGCGGUGAAAUGCGUAGAUAUCGUAAGGAAGACCAGUGGCGAAGGCGGAUCUCUGGACAGUUCCUGACGCUGAGGCACGAAGGCCAGGGGAGCAAACGGG
rnacentral:rRNA from 1 species